rnacentral:rRNA from 1 species
UACGUAGGGGCAAGCGUUGUCCGGAAUCAUUGGGCGUAAAGCGCCCGUAGGCGGCCUGACAAGUUGGACGUGAAAGCUCCUGGCUUAACUGGGAGAGGCCGUUCAAAACUGUCAAGCUAGAGUCUGGAAGAGAAGAGCGGAAUUCCCGGUGUAGUGGUGGAAUGCGUAGAGAUCGGGAGGAACACCAGUGGCGAAAGCGGCUCUCUGGUCCAAAACUGACGCUGAGGGGCGAA